rnacentral:rRNA from 1 species
GACGAACGCUGGCGGCGUGCCUAAUACAUGCAAGUCGUGCGGACUUUGCGGGAGCUUGCUCCCAAGAAGUUAGCGGCGGACGGGUGAGUAACACGUGGGCAACCUGCCUGACAGACUGGGAUAACAUCCGGAAACGGAUGCUAAUACCGGAUAGGCAGCGAAGAGGCAUCUCUUUGCUGAGAAAGGCGCUAUGGCGUCACUGUCAGAUGGGCCCGCGGCGCAUUAGCUCGUUGGUAGGGUAACGGCCUACCAAGGCGACGAUGCGUAGCCGACCUUCGGGGGUGACCGGCCACACUGGGACUGAGACACGGACCAGACUCCUACGGGAGGCAGCAGUAGGGAAUCUUCCACAAUGGGCGAAAGCCUGAUGGAGCAACGCCGCGUGAGUGAUGAAGGCCUUCGGGUUGUAAAACUCUGUCUUCUGGGACGAACGGCCAAGAGAGGGAAUGCUCUUGGAUUGACGGUACCAGAGGAGGAAGCCACGGCUAACUACGUGCCAGCCGCCGCAGUAAGAC